rnacentral:rRNA from 1 species
GACGAACGCUGGCGGCGUGCCUAACACAUGCAAGUCGAACGCAGUGGGGACGGGUGAGUAACACGUGGGUAACCUCCCAUCAGAGGGGAUAACACUUGGCAACAGGUGCUAAACCGAUACUGAUGGAUGGACCCGCGGGGCAUUAGCUAGUUGGUGGGGUAACGGCUCACCAAGGCCACGACGCAUAGCGGGCCUGUGAGGGUGACCGGCCACACUGGGACUGAGACACGGACCAGACGCCUACGGGAGGCAGCAGUGGGGAAUCUUGGGCAAUGGACGAAAGUCUGACCGAGCAAUGCCGCGUGUGGGAAGAAGGUUUUCGGGUCGUAAAGCUCUGUUGGUGGGGAAGCGGUAUCUAACCAGAAAGCCACGGCUAACUACGUGCCAGCAGCCGCGGUAAUAC